rnacentral:lncRNA from 1 species
GUCAAUCAAACUGUAUACAAGUAAGAAAAACUAUUAGUAUCCAAACUAUUGAACUACAACUGGCUUAUAGCUCUAGAAUGGACCUUAGCAGCGUGCAAGUCUUGUAGUAUUUAAAGGCAAGAAGAGAGCACACUUUUUCGCAUUAUUACAGAUUUUUUUUCCUUGUUAAUAAGUAAUUUGAAUAUCUUAUCUCAGGCUUGGAAAACAAAGCAUCACUCCAAACAUUAAACAAUUGGCAGUGUUCGUACUUCAAGCAUAUGAGUCCUAUUUUCUUAUCUAGGAAUAUGACAGAGUGAUUCACAUAAAUAGAAGAGAAUGACACCCAAUUUCUAAUAUUUAAGAAAAUUUGCGAUAACUUAAAUUGAAACCCUAUUAUAAACAGAAACUUUUCCAUUAAAAAUGAGUUGCGAGGUCUAUAAAAAUACAACCAUUCCGAUUAAGCAUCCUUGUUUGACUUUCUAGUUACUCUGAGGUAAAGUAUUACUAAUAUAUAAUGACACUGACUACAGAAUUCUGCCCACCUUCCAAAUCAUCUUAGCAUGACAACGAAAGGAAAAUUUACUCCUUAAUUCACGUCACUUAGUAAAGCAUCUGUAUGAAAAUGCAUCUCAAAAGGUUGGAGAAGUGGGAGCUGUUUGAACACCUACCCUUGACAAACUCAUAUAAUUUCUUAAGCAUUAAUAUUGAAAUCAACAGUACGUACAGAUGGAAAAAAUCAUAGAUAAGAAUCAGAAGACGCCCCUCCCCCCCGAUAUGAACCGAAAAAAACGAGAGGGAGAUUAAAUCUUCUCCAUCUUGGCCAAGUCUAUAUGCAUGCCAGCAAUUUCAAAUCAAGAGUCCAUAACGCAUAUUUACAGAAUCACUCCUCUGUCAUCUCAACUGAUAUUAAAAAUUUGAUAUUGGUUUUCCCAUUAAUAGUUCCAUUAUCAAAUGAGUUCUAACAAACAAUGAUAGCAGCAUCCGUAAGUACUCAACCACCACCGUUGCAACUCUCAAUCACCAUCACCACCCCCUCAAACUCAUCAAACCCAACUUGUUACCACCACAUUACCAUCGAGUUCAUCCCACAAAAGAUAUAGUUAUUACUAUUAUUUUUAAAGGAGAAUCCCCUUUGGUGUCUCCCUAAAAAUGAAGCUGAUUAUUUUUGUUUUCCCUAAAUGUCCAACAUAAAAUCAUUGGUCACAUUUUAAUGACGCUUUUUCCUCCUAGCGCUUAGCGGGUAGGCCCUGACCAUUCAUAACUAGACGGACUGGGGUUAUUACGGCUUGGCUUGUGGCCUGGAGCGUCGCUUGAGGAUUGAGUUUGUUUUCGCGUUAGGAACAUUCCCGGCAACGAGUAAUUAAACGUACAAGCCAAGCCCCGUCCUCCUCUCGCCCACUGCCAAGGGGAGUUAGGAGUUAGAAAGUGGGUUUCGAACAGUCAGGGGUUUAAUGACCCAGAGAGGAGCAACUGGCAAAGCUCCACGAACCAGUGGGGGCACGAAGGGACCCAAUGUCGACUCCCUAACUCGAGUCAAAUCUACACGCUUAAGGCUGCUUGGGAUCAGCGAUGUGACCCGGCUGGAAUCUACGAUGGCAUCUCUGGACUGGUGCUUGGUGUAAGGUAGUGGUGGAUAAGUUGAGACGGGAAGGCAUGUUACUGAUGGCUGGCUAUGGUGGUAGGAGUGUUGUGGGCUAGCUUGGCUCUUUCUGGCUUUGAUGGCUUUCUUCUGGUAGUACCUUGACUACUUCCACUCCUGCUCCCCUAUACUACUUCGGUGCCCUCUUAGCAUUUAGUAGUUCCAUAUAGCAAAAGAUUAUUAGAGGCAAAAGACUAACUACUAACGAUACAUGGGGUACGCACACUCCCGCCAGCAAGGGAAAUAUUGAGAAGUUAGCCCCUUUUAUAACCACUCCAUGUUCCAAUACAGGAAGCUGCUUCAGUUUCCUACUCACAAGCAACAACACUAUCUUCUCACAUUCCUUUUCCACCAAACAACUGGUUUCUAGCAUCUCUUUCCCUCAUCGACUGCCUUCUUGCCUGCUUUUUAGUCAAAGAUGGCCUACAACAAGACUAUUUCGUCUUGGCAAACACCCAGUCGACUACUCGAUCAAACACCAGUUUUUUUCCACAUCAUCAAAGUUGAAGAUAGGCCUUUGAGUAUUUCUUUCUCUGUCAAACAAUUGACCUAUUUCAGUUUUCCUCCUCUUCGUCAAUUGCUUAUCAUAGAAGUGUCAAUAUUUUAUUUUGUGUUCAUAUACUGUGAGUUAUUACAGAUUCACAUAUUUACGAUUUUCAAGUCUGUUACUGUGAUCAUUAUGCUCUGUAACAUCAUGAAAUCUUACCAAUAAAAUAGAGGUAACUGUUUUGUCCAAAUACUUUAGUGCUUGUUGUAUAUUUGUGUAGUUAUGUUCAAAUUUCAUUUUCACCUUUGAUUUCUGUUACUAAGAAUUCAAAACGCUUCAUAGCUGGUGUUAUAAGUUGUGAAACAGCUCAAGUAGAAUUUAGGUGGCUUAUCUACCAAGGUCAUGCUUCCAAGUUUGGUGACAUAUAUUCUAACAAGGACAUGCUGUUUUUAAGAGACUCACUUCCAAGUAGAAUUUAGUAACCUUAUUUUACGAGGUCAUGCUUUUAUUUCUGCCAAUAUGCUUAAUUUGUAACUUCUGCUACUAAUUCCCUUUAAUUUUUUGCAUCAAUUCUGUACCAUGAAAACAAUAUUAUUCAAGGAAUAAUUGCUUAAAUUCAAAUAGAGAUAUGAGAAUAUUAUACAUGCAGGUACACAAAUAGAAUUAGUUUACUAUUACUUCCAAGUUUAAAACAACUAGACUCAAUGACAUAAAAUUUGCUUUGCUACGCAAUGAUUGAUAUUGGUUCGAAACAAAGCAUGAGAUGAUGCCAAUUUUUACUUGUAACGCGGUUUCCUUGGAAAGGAAAUAUGAUCUUAACGUCAUUGACCGCUAGUACACAUCAAUAUAUACACACACACACGUAUAUAUUUGUGUACAUAUAAAUAUAUAUACACACGUACAUAUAUGAAAGAUAGAGGGGACUAAAGGUGAAGCGAUUUUGUGUGCGACUGGAGGAUAUGGUGGUGGUGCUAAUGGCCGCAGGAGUGCUGAAGAGAGAAGGAUAAAGAGAGGGGGGAGAAGAGAUAUAUGAGUGAGACAGAGAAGACUUACUGGUGUUGGGGAUGAUUGCGGUGGGUGGCGAGCGGCGAUGGACGCAGUGGUGGAUGGAGGUUGCGGAUGGAGGUUGGUGGAUUUUGGUGGUUAGGGGCCUAGGCUAUUGAAAAUUAGGGUUUUGGCCUGUUGAAGUGAGAGUUGGACUUGGAGUGAGGGGUUAAGGGAAAAAGGGUCGGGUUGGUCCGGGCUUUG